UGUUGCUGCACAAAAUCAGCAACGUAUUCCAUUUAGAGUUGGUAUGGCAUCAGAUCCCAUGGCUUUGCGUAGAGGAGCAAAACAGCUUGCUAUGGAAGAUGUUUGCUAUUAUCAAUGGCCUCUGCCUGGGCUGGAUCAGUUUGGGCUAUUUGGUAUCUGCGAUGGGGCUGCUAAAUUCGCAAGCAAACUUUUUCCUGAGAUAAUUGCUAAUAUAUUAUUGGAUUCAUAAAAAGGGAGCGGAUUUUAUCAUUUCAUGACGCUUCAGAAAUUCUAAGAGAUGCAUUUUCUCAAACAGAAACAUGCUUGAAUCAUU